CCUACGGGAGGCAGCAGUGAGGAAUAUUGGUCAAUGGGCGCGAGCCUGAACCAGCCACGUAGCGUGAAGGAUGAAUGCCCUACGGGUUGUAAACUUCUUUUAUAAAGGAAUAAAGUGAGGCACGUGUGCCUCUUUGUAUGUACUUUAUGAAUAAGGAUAGGCUAACUCCGUGCCAGCAGACGCGGUAAUACGGAGGAUACGAGCGUUAUCCGGAUUUAUUGGGUUUAAAGGGAGCGUAGAUGGGUUGUUAAGUCAGUUGGGAAAGUUUGCGGCUCAACCGUAAAAUUGCAAUUGAUACUGGCAGCCGUGAGUACAGGUGAGGAAGGCGGAAUUCGUGGUGUAGCGGUGAAAUGCUUAGAUAUCACGAAGAACUCCGAUUGCGAAGGCAGCCUACUAAACUGCCACUGACAUUGAUGCUCGAAAGUGUGGGUAUCAAACAGGAUUAGAUACCCCUGUAGUC
rnacentral:rRNA from 1 species